CACCGCGGUUAUACGAGAGGCCCAAGUUGAUAGUCACCAGCGUAAAGCGUGGUUAAGGGAAAAUCAAAACUAAAGCCGAACGCCCUCAGUUAACUGUUAUACGAUAUACCGAAGGUAAGAAGCCCACCCACGAAAGUGACUUUAACAAUACCUGACCCCACGAAAGCUACGACA
rnacentral:rRNA from 1 species